CCUACGGGGGGCUGCAGUGGGGAAUAUUGGACAAUGGGCGAAAGCCUGAUCCAGCCAUGCCGCGUGUGUGAAGAAGGCCUUCGGGUUGUAAAGCACUUUCAGUGGGGAAGAAAGCCUUGGGGCUAAUACCCUCGAGGAAGGACAUCACCCACAGAAGAAGCACCGGCUAACUCCGUGCCAGCAGCCGCGGUAAUACGGAGGGUGCGAGCGUUAAUCGGAAUUACUGGGCGUAAAGCGCGCGUAGGCGGUCUGAUAAGCCGGUUGUGAAAGCCCCGGGCUCAACCUGGGAACGGCAUCCGGAACUGUCAGGCUAGAGUGCAGGAGAGGAAGGUAGAAUUCCCGGUGUAGCGGUGAAAUGCGUAGAGAUCGGGAGGAAUACCGGUGGCGAAGGCGGCCUUCUGGACUGACACUGACGCUGAGGUGCGAAAGCGUGGGUAGCAAACAGGAUUAGAUACCCCGGUAGUC
rnacentral:rRNA from 1 species